rnacentral:rRNA from 1 species
GGGGGCCCGCAAGCGGUGGAGCAUGUGGUUUAAUUCGAAGCAACGCGAAGAACCUUACCAGGUCUUGACAUCCCGCUGACCGCCCCGGAGACAGGGCUUUCCCUUCGGGGACAGCGGUGACAGGUGGUGCAUGGUUGUCGUCAGCUCGUGUCGUGAGAUGUUGGGUUAAGUCCCGCAACGAGCGCAACCCUUGAUCUUAGUUGCCAGCAUUCAGUUGGGCACUCUAAGGUGACUGCCGGUGACAAACCGGAGGAAGGUGGGGAUGACGUCAAAUCAUCAUGCCCCUUAUGACCUGGGCUACACACGUGCUACAAUGGACGGUACAAAGGGCUGCCAACCCGCGAGGGGGAGCCAAUCCCAAAAAACCGUUCUCAGUUCGGAUUGCAGGCUGCAACUCGCCUGCAUGAAGCCGGAAUCGCUAGUAAUCGUGGAUCAGCAUGCCACGGUGAAUACGUUCCCGGGCCUUGUACACACC